UACGUAGGGUGCAAGCGUUAAUCGGAAUUACUGGGCGUAAAGCGUGCGCAGGCGGUUGUGCAAGACCGAUGUGAAAUCCCCGGGCUUAACCUGGGAAUGGCAUUGGUGACUGCACGGCUAGAGUGUGUCAGAGGGGGGUAGAAUUCCACGUGUAGCAGUGAAAUGCGUAGAGAUGUGGAGGAAUACCGAUGGCGAAGGCAGCCCCCUGGGAUAACACUGACGCUCAUGCACGAAAGCGUGGGGAGCAAGCAGG
rnacentral:rRNA from 1 species